GUGAGAAGAGAACCAAAGGAAAGAGCAGGGUAACAAUACCUCAGAGAAGAGAGAAUCCUGGAGAAUAUGGUCCACAGUGUAAUGUUGCAGAGAAAUCAAGAAGAAUCAGAAAGGAUUCACAGAUCUGACAACUAAGAGAUACCUGGUCAGGGCUCCCCUCCAUGGCAAAUGGGACAUUUGUCUAAUGAGUUGUGAACAAAUCUGUGGGUACAGCAAUGGCUCAAGCCUCUGGAAAACUCUGUCCAUUGCCCUGGAAUUCUGGGGGUUUGCCCAAGGCAUCGAGGAGUUUAUUCUACCCUGACACCAUCCUAAUCAGAAAGAAGCAGUUUGCCAAAUCUAGGUGGCACAAUGGGAAGAUGUGGAGUCAGGAGGACAACUUUCCCACUUCAGGCCUGAUAAUCAAUCCACUGCACCAAAGAGAUGAUUAUUCUCUGCAGGUUGCACUAUAGUCACUGGGAUAUCUACUGGAUUGUAAGAUACAUGAGAACAUGGACUCUUUCCUAUAUGUACUCAUAUCCCUCUCAGUACCAGGAUAGUCCCUUGAAAACUAUAGGUGUGUUAUACAUAUGUGGUGAGUGAGUCAAUCGAUCAGUCACCAAUUCGUUCAUUUAUUUUCUCAUGGAUUCCUCAAUUAGUGUAUAAAAAGGAGGACUUACUGGAUCCAAAAUCAGGAAGUCCUUUCUGUGCGUGAAAAGUUUUAUUUACAAUUUCUAUUUUUCUCAAAUUAAAAAUAGAUGUCAGUGACAAAGCAAGCUUUUCUGUGUACAAUUCUAGUUCUCAGCCACCUCGUUUGCUAUCUAAUUCCCCUUCUUUGGAUUGAUAUAUGUCUCUGAACUAUCCUAUCUCUGGGACAAGAUAACACAUCAGAUUGCUUAGAGAUCAGAGGAUCAGAGUUGCAAGGGAUGGAUUCCUUCAUUUUACAGAUAAGGAAACUGAGGCCCUGACUCCACAUUAAGUAACUCAGCUAAGGUCCCUCAGACAGUAAAUACAACAGUCAAAAUUUGAACACAAGUCCUUUUGUCUUCUCCUCAAUCUGUUAAUCCCCAACACUGAAGCCCAGUUCCAGCCAUGCUAAUCUGCUUCUUGGAAUCUGGUCACUUGGUUUGUUGCUUCCUGUUUCUGUACCUGUCUUAGUACAAAUCCAUUCUUCUUCCCACUGUAUCUCAUUGCCUUUUGGGUUCUUGGAGAAAGACAUGUCAUGAUCAAAUGAGCUGAUAGAAACAAAAGCAUGGUUCACCCUCCCCCCAGAAGUCCAAUCCCUGGGAUGUUCACUUACCAACUACUGCUAGUCUCCAUGGAUCACUUCUGUAAUACUUUAGAAAGAGGGUUCUCUUUAAUUGUUCCCUCUUCCCCUUGACCCUUAUUUCUUCAUUCUCUUUUUUAAAAAUCCAGGGAAAGAACUAUGACAGGUGAAUUUUCUGAUAAUGGGACACAUGCUCGUAACCACAAGAUUUACACCCAAACCUUCAUAAACAGAUUUCUUUACUAUCAUUAACGCCUUCACUUUGCACAUUCCUUAUAGAUAAGACAUCACUUUCUCCCUGCUGCUCACUGGAAAUGUGAUAGAGUGUAAUCAGCCUGGCAAAUGAUUUUCAAAAGUCAUGAUGCUACUAAAAUUCUCUCCUGCUGAAAAAUCCCUAUUUGCAUUUUCCAAUGUCACCCCCACACACACACCCUCUCUCUUGCUGACUUUCCCCUCCCUCUACUGCUCCCUGCAUGGCUAGGAUAAGAGAAUGAAGAUCUCUUCCUACAGAAAUUCACAGUCCUUUCAAAACAGACAAAUUCAGCAGACGUCACUUCUUUUAAGCCACUUGCAUGAUUUCAUUUUUUUUCUGGCCACAGCAGCAAUGACCUGAUCAUGAGACUCUUUCCAUACAUGCAUAGGUCCACCCUGGACUGGAAAUCAAAAGUCCUGAUUUCUAGUUCUGCUCUGACACUGUGCACAAUACUUAAACUAGUUUCUCUAAUUCUCUGCAUUUUAUUAUAUACAUCAGUAAAAGAAGGAUAAUUCAGUUUAGUUCAGUUUAAUUCACUUCAAAUCAUUUCCGUUUAGCAGACACUUAUUAAGUAGAUGUUAAGAUCAAAGUCCUAAGUAUUGGGAACACAAAGACAAAAUGAAAUAUAUCAUUGGUCUAAAGGAACUUGCAGUCUACUACUUAUUUUAAAAGUUAUGCUAUGAGGCUAAACUUAGAUAACUUCCUUGGAAGUGCAUGAGUAUUAAGAAGUUCAUGUAAAUUCAAGGAGUUAUUUUCUCAUUCUCUUUGAACUUUGCCUUUAUAAUGUUUUAUGCUGCUUUAAGAAAACAUUUCAGUUGAGGGGAGCAUAGGUGAGUGCAUUUCGGGGGGCUCAGACUCCCUUCUGAGCCAACAGAUGGACUCUGCCUAGUGUUCUGAAAGCCUGCCUUGUCAAAUUCCCUUAAACCACCAGGGAGAGAGAAUCCUGAAUGCCACAGACUCUGCUGAGCUCUUCCUUCCUGACUUCCUCUUCCCCAGUAGGAGACCAAUUCAGGGGCUCCUCAUCUGACUGCUCCCAAGGUAUUGCAGGGUCUGUCAGGAAAGUGUUCCAUUCUGUAUCUUACUCCCCUUGGAUCUUCGCAGGUCUGGGCUGUGUAAACAUGUUAUCUCUUGUCUUCUUAUCAACUCACUCCCAACUCUGAUAGGAAAGAAGGAAAAACAUAUUCUUAUUCUCUCUCUCUCUCUCUCUCUCUUUCUCUCUCUCUCUCUCUCUCUCUCUCUCUCUCUCUCUCUCUCUCUCUCUCUCUCUCUCUCUCUCUCUCUCUCUCUCUCUCUCUCUCUCUCUCCUACCUUAGAAUCAAUACUGUGUAUUGGUUCUAAGGCAGAAGAGUGGUAAAGGCUAAGAAAUGGGGGUUAAGUGACUUGCCCAGGGUCGCACAGCUAGGAAGUAUUUGAGGCCACAUUUGAACCCAUAACCUCCCAUCUCUGGGCCUGACUCAAUCCACUGAGUCACUUCACUGCUCCUCCUCUCUCUCUUUUUAAUUGACAAUUCAACAAUCUCUUAUCAAAUGUAUCUCAUAUGCACAGAUACUGUGUAGAGGAUACAAAGACUUUAAAUAAAUGACAGCUUCUUCUUUUACA
ensembl:lncRNA